rnacentral:rRNA from 1 species
AGCAGCCGCGGUAAUUCCAGCUCCAAUAGCGUAUAUUAAAGUUGUUGCAGUUAAAAAGCUCGUAGUUGAAUUUCGGGGUUAGUAGAUUGGUCAUGCCUCUGGUAUGCACUGGUCUUACUGAUUCCUCCUUCCUGAUGAACCGUAAUGCCAUUAAUUUGGUGUUGCGGGGAAACUGGACUGUUACUUUGAAAAAAUUGAGUGUUUAAAGCAGGCUAACGCUUGAAUACAUUAGCAUGGAAUAAUGAAAUAGGACGUUCGAUCUUAUUUUGUUGGUUUCUAGGAUUGACGUAAUGAUUAAUAGGGAUAGUUGGGGGCAUUAGUAUUCAAUUGUCAGAGGUGAAAUUCUUGGAUUUAUUGAAGACUAACUACUGCGAAAGCAUUUGCCAAGGAUGUUUUCAUUAAUCAAGACGAAAGUUAGGGAUCGGAAGACGAUCAGAUACCGUCGUAGUCUUAACCAUAAACUAUGCCGACUAGGGAUCGGAUGAUGUUAAUUUUUAAUGACUCAUUCGGCG